AGGGGUGAAAGGCCAAUCAAACUGGGAAAUAGCUCGUACUCUCCGAAAUGCAUUUAGGUGCAGCCUCUGUUUUUCAGUUACUGAGGUAGAGCUACUGAUUGGAUGCGAGGGCUUCACCGCCUAUCAAAUCCGGCCAAACUCCGAAUGCAGUAACUUUACAGACAGGGAGUGAGCCCGCGGGUGCUAAGGUCCGCGGACGAAAGAGGAAGAACUCAGCCCAUCAGCUAAGGCCCCGAAUUGUAUGCUAAGUUGACAAAACGCGGUGGAACAGCACAGACAGCUAGGAUGUUGGCUUGGAAGCAGCCAUUCAUUUAAAGAGUGCGUAACAGCUCACUAGUCGAGCGGUUCUGCAUGGAUAAUACACGGGCAUAAGCAUACAGCCGAAGCUAUGGACUCAUCGAAAGGUGAGUGGUAGGAGAGCAUUCCAUUUAGCGUUGAAGCAGUAUCGUGAGGUAUUGUGGAGCAGAUGGAAAAGCAAAUGUAGGCAUAAGUAACGAUAAUGCGGGUGAGAACCCCGCACGCCGAAAGGUCAAGGAUUCCCCGGCAAUGUCAAUCAACCGGGGGUAAGUCGGGUCCUAAGUCGAAGCCGAAGGGCGUAGACGAUGGCCAACAGGUUAAUAUUCCUGUACUCAUAUAUGCUGCGAUGCAGGGACGUAGUAGUGACACCGCUGCGUACAGACGAAAUAGUACGUUGAAGCCUUUAUCUGUCGAUGCUGAUAGUUAAGUACGUCAGCAGAGGAGAUGGGUGAUAGUACCGCAAGGCUUCGGCUGCGCGGAUAAUGCGGGUAAUCAGACUACCAAGAAAAUCUGCUAAGCUUCAGGCAUAUAUGACCCGUACUGUAAACGGACACACGUGACCGGGUAGAGAAUACUAAGGCGCUCGAGAUAUUCAUGGCUAAGGAACUAGGCAAAAUGGUCCUGUAACUUCGGGAUAAAGGACGCUGGGGUAAAAUCCAGCCGCAGUAAAAUGGCCCAGGCGACUGUUUACCAAAAACACAUGGCUAUGCUAAAUCGUAAGAUGAUGUAUAUGGCCUGACACCUGCCCGGUGCUGGAAGGUUAAGAGGAGGGUUUAGUAGCAAUACGACGAUCUGAAUUGAAGCCCCAGUAAACGGCGGCCGUAACUAUAACGGUCCUAAGGUAGCGAAAUUCCUUGUCGGGUAAGUUCCGACCUGCACGAAUGGUGUAACGAUCUGGGUACUGUCUCAGCCAUGUUCUCGGUGAAAUUGUAGUUCCGGUGAAGAUGCCGGAUACCCGCAACGGGACGGAAAGACCCCGUGAACCUUUACUGCAGCUUUGCAUUGAUUUUGGGUAAGUGAUGUGUAGGAUAGGUCGGAGGCAUUGAAAUGGCAUCGUCAGGUGUCAUGGAGCCGCUGUUGAAAUACGACCCUUUACUUAUCUGAGGUCUAAUCUCCUUAGUGGAGAGACAUUGCAUGGUGGGUAGUUUGACUGGGGUGGUCGCCUCCAAAAGCGUAACGGAGGCUUCUCAAGGUACCCUCAUGGCGUUUGGUAAUCGCCAGUAGAGUGCAAUGGCAUAAGGGUGCUUGACUGUGAGACCUACAAGUCGAUCAGGUUGGAAACAAGAGCAUAGUGAUCCGGUGGUUCCGCAUGGAAGGGCCAUCGCUCAAAGGAUAAAAGGUACUCCGGGGAUAACAGGCUGAUCGCUCCCAAGAGCUCAUAUCGACGGAGCGGUUUGGCACCUCGAUGUCGGCUCGUCACAUCCUGGGGCUGGAGAAGGUCCCAAGGGUUCGGCUGUUCGCCGAUUAAAGUGGCACGCGAGCUGGGUUCAGAACGUCGUGAGACAGUUCGGUCCCUAUCUGUUGUGGGCGCAGGAUAUUUGCGGAGAUCUGACACUAGUACGAGAGGACCGUGUUGGACGCACCUCUGGUGCAUCAGUUGUGAUGUCAAUUGCAUUGCUGAGUAACUACGUGCGGAAAGGAUAAGCGCUGAAAGCAUCUAAGCGCGAAGCCAACUUCAAGAUGAGAUAUUCUUUU
rnacentral:rRNA from 1 species